UGGGGAAUAUUGCACAAUGGGCGAAAGCCUGAUGCAGCAACGCCGCGUGAGGGAAGACGGUUUUCGGAUUGUAAACCUCUGUUUUCGGUGACGAACAAAUGACGGUAACCGAGUAGGAAGCCACGGCUAACUACGUGCCAGCAGCCGCGGUAAUACGUAGGUGGCAAGCGUUAUCCGGAAUUACUGGGUGUAAAGGGAGCGCAGGCGGGAUAGCAAGUCAGCUGUGAAAACUAUGGGCUCAACCCAUAAACUGCAGUUGAAACUGUUAUUCUUGAGUGGAGUAGAGGCAAGCGGAAUUCCGAGUGUAGCGGUGAAAUGCGUAGAUAUUCGGAGGAACACCAGUGGCGAAGGCGGCUUGCUGGGCUCUAACUGACGCUGAGGCUCGAAAGUGUGGGGAGCAAACA
rnacentral:rRNA from 2 species